AAAUUCCCGCCCCGGAAAGGGGAAUGAGCCGCCCCACCGGGAAUCGAGUCUUGGGCUUCUGAAGGCAACGACAGGAGUUAAGCGUAGACAGAGCGACGAGCAGGCCGUAACGCAAGUGAAGCUGUGGAGCCUCGUUAAGGUACAAAUCCGCAGGCCGACGGGAUCGUAGUGCCCGGAAGGCUACAGUAGGCCACCGCAAUGGGCGAUGGGGGCUGGAGACUGCGGCGGGGUCAGAGGGCA
rfam:Burkholderia sp. OLGA172 chromosome 2, complete sequence.